rnacentral:rRNA from 1 species
CGUAGAGCGGCGGACGGGUGAGUAACGCGUGGGUAACCUGCCUCAUACAGGGGAGUAACAGUUGGAAACGGCUGCUAAUACCGCAUAAGCGCACAGUACCGCAUGGUACGGUGUGAAAAACUCCGGUGGUAUGAGAUGGACCCGCGUCUGAUUAGGUAGUUGGUGGGGUAACGGCCUACCAAGCCGACGAUCAGUAGCCGACCUGAGAGGGUGACCGGCCACAUUGGGACUGAGACACGGCCCAA